rnacentral:lncRNA from 1 species
ACAGAUCGUGCAAAUGGAUUGUGUAAGGCAGAGUGUGGAAGAGGAGGCUGUGAUCAGUGGCUUGGAGAGCAGAGUGUGGUCAGGUGCUAAACCUAAGGCUUUUCUGGGAAGAGCUCUUAAGAUUAGACUGUUCUCCCCAAAAGCCAAUAAUUCUGAGUGUCUCCAUUAAUGCCUAGGUAGCCCAUACUCUCACCCAGCCAGUGCCCUUCAGCCUGGAACCUUUGGAUGGAGGAUUGGACCUUGUGACCUUCAAGUUCCCUUCCAAACCAAAUAUGCUCUAACCCAGGAGAUGGUGCUGUUGCCCAGGAAGCCGGUCACCAUGACGAGAGUACCCGCUCAGAUGAGGAUGCAGGCGGAGGCAGUGAAGGUGCUGGAGGCCAGGAUGCUGAG